rnacentral:lncRNA from 1 species
AGAUAAAAUAUUCUGUCUUCUUCCAAAAUUUGCAAACCCUAUUUAUCAAUCCAUGGCUAGAGGGAAGCAAGUAUCUUAUGGUGAUCAUAAAACCGCUAGGAAAAUUUAUCAUGAAGCUCAAUCUGAGAGUACCGCAUACUUCUCUGCUUCUGAGAGUGAAGAUGUCUCCGAUUCGUCAGAAGUAGAGGUCGCCCAUGUUCAGAAACACAAUGGAAAAGGCUUGGUUGCAGGUAAGUCUUUUGAAUCAAAUAAGAAGAUAAUAUAUUCAGUUGCUGCUCAUAGUCUUAUGUUAGAUAGGGGAUUUUCAGACCAAGGUACAUAAAAUGGGAUGUCUUUAAAGACUUGCCAUUUGAAAUUGAGGAAUUAUAUAUCGCUCAGAAGUGGAAAAUGUUUUCUGAUAUAUAUAGGUGAUAUUAUCUUGAUUUAGUUGUUGAAUUUUAUAGAAAUAUACGAGUGGUUGACGAGCAAGAGUCCUUUAUCACAACCAUUCAAGGAAAAAUGGUCACAAUUACUAUUGAUGAUUUAGCCCAAGCUUUUGGAUUACCAAAUGAGGGAAAAUCGAGUUGGCAGUAGGAAUGAAGUGAAAAAAAGGCUUUUGGAUUACCAAAUGAGGGAAAUCGAGUUGGAAGUAGGAAUGAAGUGAAAAAAAAUGUCUGCUUUAUAAUGAAAAGGCUUUUAAAAAGUCCAUAUUCCCUGAAGGCACAUCUAAAAAUGAAAUUGGAAGUAGUUUACUGCCCCAACAAUACAAGAUUCUACAGAAAAUUGUUAUAUAUUUCUUGUAUCCAAGGACUGGCAGUAAGGGAUACAUGAAUGAGAUAGAUUUAUGCAUCAUGGGGCACAUGGUCAACAAAGUCCCAUACAAUUUGUCAUACUUGAUGUUCAAGAUUAUUGUUAAGGAUUCCAAGUGCCGAGAAUUGUCUUAUUCUAUGCAGUUAACUUUAUUUUCUCAGAAAUUAAAAAUUAAAUUGGUGAAAGAAAUAGGGUAUUGUAAUGGAAUUCCAAUUAAGGAGAUUUUUAGUUCAACUGCCAUGAUAAAGAGGAGAUGCAAUGUUAUGAUAGACAAAAAAGUAGAUGGAAUUGAAAUAGAUGGUGAAGGUAAAUCUGAAGCUGAUGGUGAUAAUGAAAAUAGAAAAAGAACAAAGAGAGAUGGUGAAAUUGGUGUAAGUUCAGACAAUGUGAUUAUUGCUUUAGCUAAGGAAAAUUUGGAGAAGAUGAAGGAGAUCAAAGAGGCUGCAUCUUUCUUGAAAAAUUCUCAAGAUUUGCAGCAAACUAUUAUAAACAGCCAAAGUGCAAAUAUUGCUAUGUUAGUGAAUUGAAUGGAUAGAAUGGUAUGGUUUAUGAAGAAGAUUUUUCUUAAGUUAUUUAGAGAUACAUUUGUAAUAUUUGGUGAUUUUGGAGAUUACCAAUGUGGAACUAUUCCUGCAGCUGGAGGUAGUGGUUACAGUACUUUUACUGUACCAGUUGAUAAGAAAAAAUAAUGAAGAAGAAGAACAUGCACAAACUAGAAAAGAAGUUUCUUCAGAAAUUUCUUCAUCACAUUCAAGCAAUAGCAGUAGCGAGAAAAAUUCUUCAUAAAAUUCAAGCAGUGGCAAUAGUAAGAAAUCUAAUGGCAGUAGCAAGAAAUUCAGUGGCAGUAGCAAGAAAUCCAGUGGUAGCAGUGACAAAGCGAGUGAUGGUAGUGACAAAAGUCAACAUCAGCAAGAACGAGGUCAUAUUGAGUGCAACUCUAGUUCACCUAAUGAGCAGUCACAUGAUCAGUCCCUGAAAAAGUUAAAAUUGCUCAGCUAAUUACAUUCUACAUUCUGAUUCACUAACUUGUGCUUUACAUUAUGGACAGAAAAGAACCAAAUCUCAAGCCAGGAAAUCUGGUUUUAAUGGCUUACCAAUAUUUCAUUUCACUGUACCUGAAAAUGCCAUAACAACAAAGAAAAAGUUAAUAUCAAAAGUUGAUCUCACUAAGGUAAGAAGUGGAAAAGUUCCUGUGGCCACUAAAGUUACAAAAUCAGGAGAAGUUGGCUGCAAAGACAAACCAGAAGAUAUCUAGGGUUUUUUGGUUUACAUCUAGACAAAUGGUUUUUUUAGACCUUUGAAAAUUUUAUUAAAAGUUAUUUAAGUUUUGAUCAAAUAAAAUAAUUCAUUUGGCCCUUUAAAUUUUUAAAAAUGGCACAAAAAAGUCUAAAAUCUAACGCCGUUAAAUCUUCAUCAACAAAAG